GAUGAACGCUGGCGGCGUGCCUAAUACAUGCAAGUCGAGCGAACAGACGAGGAGCUUGCUCCUCUGACGUUAGCGGCGGACGGGUGAGUAACACGUGGAUAACCUACCUAUAAGACUGGGAUAACUUCGGGAAACCGGAGCUAAUACCGGAUAAUAUAUUGAACCGCAUGGUUCAAUAGUGAAAGACGGUUUUGCUGUCACUUAUAGAUGGAUCCGCGCCGCAUUAGCUAGUUGGUAAGGUAACGGCUUACCAAGGCAACGAUGCGUAGCCGACCUGAGAGGGUGAUCGGCCACACUGGAACUGAGACACGGUCCAGACUCCUACGGGAGGCAGCAGUAGGGAAUCUUCCGCAAUGGGCGAAAGCUUGACGGAGCAACGCCGCGUGAGUGAUGAAGGUCUUCGGAUCGUAAAACUCUGUUAUUAGGGAAGAACAAAUGUGUAAGUAACUAUUCACGUCUUGACGGUACCUAAUCAGAAAGCCACGGCUAACUACGUG
rnacentral:rRNA from 1 species